GGGCGCAGCCUGGAUCCAGCCAUUCCGCGGUGAGUGAAGAAGACCUUCGGGUUGUAAAGCUCUUUCGGCAGGAACGAAACGGUGGGGGCUAAUACCCCUCGCUAAUGACGGUACCUGAAGAAGAAGCACCGGCUAACUACGUGCCAGCAGCCGCGGUAAUACGUAGGGUGCGAGCGUUAAUCGGAAUUACUGGGCGUAAAGCGUGCGCAGGCGGUUUUGUAAGACAGAUGUGAAAUCCCCGGGCUUAACCUGGGAACUGCGUUUGUGACUGCAAGACUCGAGUGCGGCAGAGGGGGGUGGAAUUCCACGUGUAGCAGUGAAAUGCGUAGAGAUGUGGAGGAACACCGAUGGCGAAGGCAGCCCCCUGGGUCGACACUGACGCUCAUGCACGAAAGCGUGGGUAGCAAACAGGAUUAGAUACCCUGGUAGUCCACGCCCUAAACGAUGCGAACUAGGUGUUGGGGAAGGAGACUUUCUUAGUACCGCAGCUAACGCGUGAAGUUCGCCGCCUGGGGAGUACGGUCGCAAGAUUAAAACUCAAAGGAAUGGACGG
rnacentral:rRNA from 1 species